UACAUCUUGCUGAAUUCAAGGGGCUGGCUACUGGAUGAGUGGAGAAAAGCAAACACAGCAGUCAGCAUCCCGACGUACCAGUCAAGUGGACAGCUCCUUAAACUGGUUACCCCCUGCGGAAUGGGAAAAAACAGAGGGAGACGAUUAAAGCAUCCUACACCAUUGGACUGGAGAACACCCCUGGAUCAAUGGCUGCCACUGUUAAAGAACUGCACGUUAGGGUAAGACUACAGUGGAGCUGUAGACUGACCACCAGUGGGGGUGGCUGCGGAUCCCUGUGGAGCCACGAGGAGAAGAGGGCUGGAAACACAGGGGAGACUGGUGUGAGUAGUGCACUUCUCCAGAUUUCAAGCCAUCCCUUCCAUCUAACAUAUACUCCAUGUUGAUUUACUUGAAGUGCUUCCACUACAAGAGAUGAGGACUUUCUUUUCAGGAGCUGUAAAAUAAUUCAUUAAGUGGGAAGACAAUCUUUUUUUUCCCCUUCCCUUUUUACCUUACAAGUCUAAAAUGUUAAUUAGGAAAAUAAGUACGAUUUUUAUUAUGACGCUGGAAUGAAUGAUGUUUUAAGAGACUUUGGAAAGUUGUGAAACCCAAGAUUAAUUUACUAUGGUAGUCUCAGACUUGUCUUUUUAAAAUAUUUUUUUUAGUUGUAGUUGGACACAUUUUCUUUCUUUAUUUUUUAUGUGGUGCUGAGGAUUGAACCCAGCGCCUCACACAUGCUAAGCAAGCACUCUACCACUAAGCCCCAGCCCCAGCCCCUCAGACUUGUCUUUAAAGAUGAUAUUCUUUUUAAAAUAUUAUUUAUGUAAGAACAAAAGGAAUACAAUUUUAUGGUAGCAGGAUUGAACUGAUAACAACUCAGGAAAACAUUUGACUUCUCUCUACUGGACUUAAUGAAGACCAGGUCAGCUGCUCCACAGUGGCAUAUUUAAUAUUUCUGCCAAAUGAUUUCUUCAGCUUGAUUGCAAACCAGACUGAAACCUAUCUUCAGUCCCCAUAUGUCCUCCCAAGUGUGAGAAUUCUGCUAGAAAGGCUUCUGGGCUUUUGCUCUGGUUUUGUUUGGAUAGUAAGACUUCAGUGAAGCAGAUUCCACAAGGAGAAUGUACCACUCAGCACAAACAUUCUUUUAAGUGACCCAUCAGAAGAAUGAAAGCUAAGGAAAUCACCUUUGAGAAAUAAAGAGAUCCAAUGGUCACCCAAAUCAGGUCUCCACUGGGUGAGAUGUCUCAGAUCCAGUCUGUAGCAAAACUUCAAAGGAAUCAUAAGAAGCAGGCAACUCACAGCGAUGAACCCAGAAGUGAGAGAGAAAGGCCGGUGGGAUUUUAUAUGAAUGUAGCUGAAAUACUGCUUUAGUACUAGAGCCAAUUCUGAUGAAUUAAUGAUGACUACUCUUUUCCACUGUCUGAAAGACUGUGAGUGGCUCAGUUAUUUUUAUAAAUAAAUUCUUAAGCUCCACAAACUUACUUGAAUGAUGUCUCCAAUGAUCUGAAAAAUGCAGUCUCAAUAUUCUGCUACUGAAAGAUAGGAAGCUUAUCUGAAGCUACACUUACUGGCAUCUUAGAGAAUCUCCUUUUUACCUUUACCUACAAGGUUCAGGUUCUGUGCAAGAUAUGGAAUAUGAUAGGGGUUGGGCACUGAGUAUCCAAUAGAUUUACCCUUCAAUCAGCAGCAAAAACUGAAAUUAAAGAGAGUCUGUGUUCCUCAAAUGACCUACAGAACCAUGAGCUUCUAACUAGCCAAGAUAACACAGCAGAUUAGAUUCAAAAGCCAUACAAUUAGGGAUCUCUACCAUGAAAUCUAGAAUUUGUUACUUUGUUAAAAUAGGGAUCUUCUAAAACAGGAUAUUGGACACAGGGUGAUAGAGGCCACUUCAUAAUCCCAUCCCAGAAUUUCCCAAAGAAUUGGAGAUUAAUAAUUUGUUACUUGUGUACGAGCGUGCCCUCUGUGGGAGAGUCUCCCACUUUUCUUUAGAGAAUGAAUCUCUAGACUAAUAUUUACUGCUAGACUCUGUAAGUCCAGCUGGUCUAGACUCUGGUGUUUCUAAAUCACUCACAAUUGCUAAUGACAACUUGGGCAAGAAAUCAACUGUUGGUGUGGGCCAGGGGGGUCACUUAAAACACUGCCAUGUAGCACUCUGGGAUUCAGGCUUCCUGAGGCCUCUAUCUACAACUGGUGGGAAUGCUUAUUUAAAGGAAGGAGAGGAAAGGAAAGGGAGAGGGGGAAAGGUGAAGGAAGGACUAGAGAGGAAGGUACGGAAAAGCAAGGGAAGACAGAAUAAAUAAGAACAUCAAAAAAAGAAAGCAAAUUGCUUACUUAAGUCUUUUUGCAUCUCUUAUUACCUUUGGAGUUUCUCCAGGGACCAGGUAAUAUCUACUCUCAAUUUAGAUGAAACACCGGGAACACGCUACUUUUAAGUUGUCUGCAUUUCAGUCAUUCAAACAAAUAUUUGAUGUGUACAUUUUUGUGGAUGUCAGACACAUAGUGUGCAUACAAUGGUUUAUAUAUAUCUACACACAUAUAUACACAUUAUAUAUAUAUAUAUAAUAUGCAUAAAUAUUUAAUACAUAUUAAAAUAUAUAUCAAACAUAUAUAUUAAAAUAUAUACGUAUGCAUAAAAUAUCCCUGUCCAGACCCUUAUGGUGCUUACAGUUUGAUGAAGAGGCCAAAAAGGUUAGUUUACCAACAAAUUAACAUUAUAAUUGAGAUAAUUAUUGAAAAGAAAAAGGAAGGGUUCCCUGGGGAAGUAAAACAGGAGACCUAAGCUACAUAGGGUUUCAGGGAAGGUAGUUUUCUCCACGGAAGUGACAUUUAGGCUGAGACCUUAAAGGACAUGUACAAAAAACUAGGUGAAGAGUUUGUUUGCACACAUGCAAGGUUGGAGAAUCCCUUCUUAGGCAGAGGAACAGAACUUGCAAAGUCCUUGAGGGCAGGAGCCCAGUAUAUGGGAGGAGCUUAAAAAAGAGGGCCUUGAAAGUCAAAGGGAAGAGGUCAACCCGGACCCUGGAAGGUGGAGAUAGGGGAGGCUGUUCUGGGGCAGGGCCUGUAGGGCUUCACAGGCAAGGGGUGGCUGUAGUGAGAUGACAUAAAAUGGGAGGGCCAGACUCAACUCAUGCUCUGUUAAGGCCUGUGUGAGCAUGAAUUUGCAUGGAAGUGGAGUGAAGGGUGGAGAGAGACAGAAGGCCGGAGGAGGUGACUUCUGUUCUUUGGGGGAGAUGGAGUCUGUGAGGGAGAGGCAUAAAGAAGUGGGUGGAAAGCAAAAAUGGAGACUAGCAGGCUGGAGAGGGAGGAGUCAGAACCUGUGUUAGGACCUAGCUUGAGUAGGGAAGGGAAACAAAGGGUGUCCCAGGCUUUUUGUUUGAAAACUGCUCAACGGAGGCACUAUUGCCUGAGAAGGGGAAAAUGGUAGAGAAAAGGGCCUCAGAGAAAAAAGAGUUCAGAUCCAAACAUUUAACUUUCAGAAUUAUCCUAUGAAUGUGACACUUAAACUGCUCUUAUUGGUUAAAUUGCUUUUAAGCAAAGAUUCUGGCGUUUUGAUUUUCUUAUUUUCUUCUUAGGCAAGUUAUUUUAUUCCCUCUGAUUCCUUAAAUUGGAAUCCUGAGGCUUAUCUCUUAAGGUAAAAAUACAAUGAGAUGGUGUUUUUGAAAUGAGUAUUAUAGGCACUAUGUAAAUGGAAGUUAUUAUUACUGUAAUCUGCUAAUAGCAAUGUAAGCUAGAGAAAACACUGAGAUUUGACUUUGGUAUUUAUAAAUUGUGUCAACAGGCAAAAAAAUGUACCUUAGAUUUCUAUUUUUAAAACUAGCCUAAUACCCUAUUUCCUACAUCACAAGGUAUAUUAACUCCAACAUUUGUGAUUUAUUCUUGAACUUACAGGUCCUAUUCAUAAGUGAUGAUAAGCCUUAGAAUGAAAGAUUCUUUGUGUGAAAGGAAGAGAAAAUUAGGACUCUUUAUAGUUUGUGACUACAGGAACUCUGAAAAAAACAAUAAUAUAAAUAGGUACAGGUUUUAUGUGUCAAUUUGAAAGAAUAUGUUUUAUAAAACAAUGUGGUAAAGAGAAUAUUGAACUGGGGGAAAGUCUUACUUGACAGCAGUCUCAUGUAUGUUCACUAAGAAUGCAAUAUAAAGUUCACUAGGAUGUUCAGAUUAUAAUCACAAAGUUCUUAUGUAAUAUUCUAGACAUGUAACCUUCAACAUUCAACAUUAAAUGCAUGAUGACCAUGAAACUUACAA